rnacentral:rRNA from 1 species
AUUGAACGCUGGCGGCAUGCCUUACACAUGCAAGUCGAACGGUAGCGGGCCUUCGGGUGCCGACGAGUGGCGAACGGGUGAGUAAUGCAUCGGAACGUGCCAUUGAGUGGGGGAUAACGUAGCGAAAGUUACGCUAAUACCGCAUAUUCUGUGAGCAGGAAAGCAGGGGAUCGCAAGACCUUGCGCUCUGGGAGCGGCCGAUGUCGGAUUAGCUAGUUGGUGGGGCAAAGGCCUACCAAGGCGACGAUCCGUAGCGGGUCUGAGAGGAUGAUCCGCCACACUGGGACUGAGACACGGCCCAGACUCCUACGGGAGGCAGCAGUGGGGAA